rnacentral:rRNA from 1 species
AGUGAACGCUGGCGGUAGGCCUAACACAUGCAAGUCGAACGGCAGCACAGUAAGAGCUUGCUCUUACGGGUGGCGAGUGGCGGACGGGUGAGGAAUACAUCGGAAUCUACUUUUUCGUGGGGGAUAACGUAGGGAAACUUACGCUAAUACCGCAUACGACCUACGGGUGAAAGCAGGGGAUCUUCGGACCUUGCGCGAUUGAAUGAGCCGAUGUCGGUUUAGCUAGUUGGCGGGGUAAAGGCCCACCAAGGCGACGAUCCGUAGCUGGUCUGAGAGGAUGAUCAGCCACACUGGAACUGAGACACGGUCCAGACUCCUACGGGAGGCAGCAGUGGGGAAUAUUGGACAAUGGGCGCAAGCCUGAUCCAGCCAUACCGCGUGGGUGAAGAAGGCCUUCGGGUUGUAAAGCCCUUUUGUUGGGAAAGAAAAGAAGCAGGUUAAUACCCCGCUGUUCUGACGGUACCCAAAGAAUAAGCAACGGCUAACUUCGUG